AUCCGGGGUGGGCGAGGGGGCCGGAGGGUCUGUCAGAUCCUCGUCGUCAUCGACGGUGGCUGGCACUUCGGGUGUGGUCAUGGGCG
rnacentral:tRNA from 3 species